rnacentral:rRNA from 1 species
UACGGGGGGAGCAAGCGUUGUUCGGAUUUACUGGGCGUAAAGGGCGCGUAGGCGGCCACCGCAAGUCGAUUGUGAAAUCUCCGGGCUUAACUCGGAAAGGUCAACUGAUACUGUGCGACUAGAGUGCGGAAGGGGCAACUGGAAUUCUCGGUGUAGCGGUGAAAUGCGUAGAUAUCGAGAGGAACACCUGCGGCGAAGGCGGGUUGCUGGGCCGACACUGACGCUGAUGCGCGAAAGCCAGGGAGCGAACGGG